rnacentral:rRNA from 1 species
GAUGAACGCUGGCGGCGUGCCUAAUACAUGCAAGUCGAGCGAACGGACGAGAAGCUUGCUUCUCUGAUGUUAGCGGCGGACGGGUGAGUAACACGUGGAUAACCUACCUAUAAGACUGGUAUAACUUCGGGAAACCGGAGCUAAUCCCGGAUGAUCUUUUGAACCGCAUGGUUCAAUAGUGAAAGACGGUCUUGCUGUCACUUAUAGAUGGAUCCGCGCUGCAUUAGCUAGUUGGUAAGGUAACGGCUUACCAAGGCAACGAUGCAUAGCCGACCUGAGAGAGGGAUCGGCCACACUGGAACUGAGACGCGGUCCAGACUCCUACGGGAGGCAGCAGUAGGGAAUCUUCCGCAAUGGGCGAAAGCCUGACGGAGCAACGCCGCGUGAGUGAUGAAGGUCUUCGGAUCGUAAAACUCUGUUAUUAGGGAAGAACAUAUGUGUAAGUAACUGUGCACAGCUUGACGGUACCUAAUCAGAAAGCCACGGCUAACUACGUG